CCAUAGAAAAGGUGAAGGAGGCUGACAAGCUGGUGGCCACCAGUAAAAUUUCCCCUCAGGACAAAGUCACCAUGGCGAAGCGAGUCAGCACCAUGUCGUACGCAUUACAAGCUGAGAUGAACCACUUCCAUAGCAACCGUAUCUAUGACUACAACAGGGUCAUGCAGUUGUACUUGGAAGAGCAAGUCAAGUUUUACGAGACAAUUGCUGCAAAGUUGAGACAAGCACACAGUCAGUUCACUACAAUGUGAAAGCAACGACCUUCAGUCUUGCACUACAAGACAAGAAGAGUUAAACCAGCUCGACAUCCAAAAUAUUCUUGCUUCCAUUGCGUUCUUUCCUCUCUCUUUAAUUUAAAUUUCACUUCUCUCUUUCUCUCACUCUCACCUCUUUCCCUUCCUUUGCUGCUCGUGCAAAUAGUCCGAGCUCACCGUGUUACUUUAACCCGCCGCUCUCAGAAGUCUACGAACAGUUAAAGAGAAUUUACAGCAGCUGAAAAGGCUUUGCAGUUUUUUUAAAGAGCAGCAAUGAAAGCUGAACAAGGCACACUCAUUACGCACACCCUUCCCUUUGCCCGAGGUCUGCAGCUUGUGACACAGGAAGUAAACGCCAUGAAUUGCCACAUUGCAUGAGUCAAACCCCAGAGUUUCUCUAAUGUGAUGCAAGUUUUGUACAGCUAUAGGUGCCAACAUGCCUCUGCUCACAUUACAUCUACUUAUUUUAAAGCAAUACUCUGCAGUUUUUCUUUUUUCCAUGGUAAAAAUGGUGAAGGAAUGGAUUUAUGUGUAUUGAAACCGAGAAACCAAAGCCAUCCUCCUCUCUGUCAAAAGCAGGGGGGUCGAUUUCUGAAUGCAACAUUGGCAACAAAUCAGAGCUUUACUGUCUUUUUCUUCAGCCAAUAUUUUGAUUAUGUUGCUACUCAUUCGUAGUUUUAACCAGUCCCUCCAGGAAUUUGCAGGCUGAUUUUGGGAUUGUUGCAGCAAGAAAUGCUGAUAUCAUGGCAGCUUUUCUACAAAAAUUGCAAAGCAUGUUUUGAUGUUGAAAGGCGUUGUUUUUUUUCUUUUCUUUUUUCGGCAAUGAAAUUGCAGGGCAAAUGGAUAUUGCCAAAAUAGUUGUGAUGCUGUCUUGUAUUUGAAGCCUAUUAUUAUGAGCAUGUACCACAGAUUUAAAAUCUAUUUUUUGAUGGUGAGGGCGUGGGGGGUGCAACAGCUGAUUGCUGAUGAUCAGCUGUUGCUGCCUUUUGAAGAAGCACUAAAGGUCUGUCUCAGGCGCUCCUCCUGUUCUCUCUACCUAGUUAGCACGAGCUUACAUAGCAGCAGCGCCUAACAUGCCAUACAGAGCCGUUAACGAGUCCAAACAAACUGACACCGAAAUGGUUAAACUCUGUUGUUUAACACGUUAAAACUGUGGGUAACAUUAGCUGUGUGAUGCCAACCGUUAGAAUUUGCAUCAGUAGUUGCGAUCGCAACGUCCUGGAGGGACUGGUUAAAGGAGCAGAGUGUAGGUUUUAGUGGCAUCUAGCAGUGGGGACUGCAACCAGCAUGUGCUAAGUGUGAACUGCUGGUUAGAAUUCCUUCAGUGUUCAUCAUUGAGGAGUUUUGUUUUUUUUUUUUACCAGGAGCUGAAUGAU